rnacentral:tRNA from 1 species
GCCUGUAGCUCAGUUGGCCAGAGCGCCGCGCUACGAACGCGGAGGUCCAGAUUCGACUCCUGCCAGGGGCA